rnacentral:rRNA from 1 species
GAAUCAGUACGCUGGUCGUGCCUUCGGUAUGUACUGGUGUCACUGGUUUCUCCCUUCUGAAGAACCAUCAUGCCAUUCACUUGGUGUGGUGGGAAAUCAGGACUGUUACUUUGAAAAAAUUAGAGUGCUCAAAGCAGGCAUUUUGCUUGAAUAUAUUAGCAUGGAAUAAUGGAAUAGGAC